GAUGAACGCUGGCGGCGUGCCUAAUACAUGCGAGUCGAGCGAACAGACGAGGAGCUUGCUCCUCUGACGUUAGCGGCGGACGGGUGAGUAACACGUGGAUAACCUACCUAUAAGACUGGGAUAACUUCGGGAAACCGGAGCUAAUACCGGAUAAUAUAUUGAACCGCAUGGUUCAAUAGUGAAAGACGGUUUUGCUGUCACUUAUAGAUGGAUCCGCGCCGCAUUAGCUAGUUGGUAAGGUAACGGCUUACCAAGGCAACGAUGCGUAGCCGACCUGAGAGGGUGAUCGGACACACUGGAACUGAGACACGGUCCAGACUCCUACGGGAGGCAGCAGUAGGGAAUCUUCCGCAAUGGGCGAAAGCUUGACGGAGCAACGCCGCGUGAGUGAUGAAGGUCUUCGGAUCGUAAAACUCUGUUAUUAGGGAAGAACAAAUGUGUAAGUAACUAUGCACGUCUUGACGGUACCUAAUCAGAAAGCCACGGCUAACUACGUG
rnacentral:rRNA from 1 species